rnacentral:rRNA from 1 species
UACGUAGGGGGCAAGCGUUGUCCGGAUUCAUUGGGCGUAAAGAGCGUGUAGGCGGCCAGGUAGGUCGGUUGUGAAAACUGGAGGCUCAACCUUCAGAGGUCGACCGAAACCAUCUGGCUAGAGUCCGGGAGAGGAGAGUGGAAUUCCUGGUGUAGCGGUGAAAUGCGCAGAUAUCAGGAAGAACACCCGUGGCGAAAGGCGGCUCUCUGGGAACGGUACUGACGCUGAGACGCGAAAGCGUGGGGAGCGAACAGG